UACGUAGGGGGCAAGCGUUGUCCGGAAUCAUUGGGCGUAAAGAGCGUGUAGGCGGCCCGAUAAGUCCGCUGUGAAAGUCGGGGGCUCAACCCUCGAAAGCCGGUGGAUACUGUCGGGCUCGAGUGCGGAAGAGGCGAGUGGAAUUCCUGGUGUAGCGGUGAAAUGCGCAGAUAUCAGGAGGAACACCGAUUGCGAAGGCAGCUCGCUGGGACGUUACUGACGCUGAGGAGCGAAAGCGUGGGGAGCGAACAGG
rnacentral:rRNA from 1 species